GCAUUGACUUAUCCACAUUGCAUGGAACACAAGAAAAUUGAGUUCAGGCAGGAUCCAGGGAUUUGCCCAAGUCGCAGAACCACUGACGGACAGAAUUGAACCUUGAGCAGUCAAAUUUUGGGGCACAUGAAAGUUGGCAAGUCUGGCCCUUGAAGCAGGCAUUUCCUGUAGAGCACGGGAAUUUCUGGAGGUGGUUGAGAACAAUCCACAAAGUGGAAACCUGAAAAAGGAAGUUUGUAGACUGGAGAGGUGGCAUUUGAUCGUAUUAAUAAAGAUGAGAAAUACAAUCCAUCUUAGUUGCAAGCUGUUGCUCUUGUGUUUUAGCAAACAGGAAAUUCUCCAUUAGCCAUAAUAAGGGACUAAAAACAGUGGUAUGGACCGCCUAAGCCACUUGCAUUUGUUGUGGGAUAGAAUGUUUUGUCCCACUCUUAUAUUUUUGAUUGUGGUGCCUGUAUGUACUAUUUUGAACAUUGAUGCUUUAAGACAAAUCAGGGUUCCAAACAACGGGAGUCCAACUCAAAGGAGGUAGGAGGCUUGAUCUUUUCCUUUUUCUCUCUCAAUCCUCUAGCUCCUAGGAGGUGAUAUGGGAAUGGCCAUUUCUUUAUCCCGGUGCAGAGAGUAGAUCCCUACUGAAUUGUCUUCUGUCUCUCCACUUUCUCUGCUGGCAUUGUCUGCUGGAUUUCUUUUUCCCUCAGGUCAUUAUAGGGUUGUGGAAGGAGGUAAUUAAGAGUUUUCUAUGAAAGGCUUUUCAUGUUGGUGAGCCGGGGUGCAAGGAGAGUACCUUGCUCCAGUUACUGAACGGAAACCAUCCCUACAGUGGAGUGGCCUCCUCCAGUUUCUGCUGGGUUUUGAGCUGACUGUUAAAUAAGUCAGUGAGGACAAAGCAGCUCUAGGGGAAAAUCAGAUAAUUUCUUUUCUGGAAGGGACGUUAAUCUGCAGAGUUGAUGAGACUAUCAUUGAAGGAAUCUGUGUCUUCUGUUCUGGGCAUGGCCUGGGCCACUGACCUUCCAUGGCUGUUGGAUGAGAUAGAAACCACACAGAGGAGAUGGAGGCACUGGCAGAGAAGCCAUGCAAAGGGCUAAAGAGCGAGGGAAGCUGGCUGGGAAGCUCGGGGGCCCAGGGCAGCAGCUGUCGAGAAGGCUCUCGAUUGUUCAUCUAGGACAGGCAGGGGAGACUCAGCCGGGAGCUCAGGCCUUGUUGUCGUCAUGAGCCACCAGCAUGGAGGCUCCCCUCUCACCGCCAUGUCUUCCUGCCUGUGGUGUUAUUCUCCUCUGAAUACCCAGGCUGUCUUGUCUUCUGUACGGUUGGGGUGGUGCUGGGACUGGAAUUGAAGAUAAAGCAUCUUAUGUCAUGGAAAGGGUAGCUGAGUGCCCUGACAGGAGGCAGGGACUCGCAUGCUACCAGGUUGGGUCUGGUGGCCUGUAACAUCAGCCCAGAGGGAGUAGGAAGGAUGAGUAUCUUUUGCUAAAAGUCAGCAACCAAAUAGUUCUUGGGUCAGGAAACCCUGGGCAGGGACAAUCUGGGUGCAGGCUCCACAUGCGAUGCAUUCACACCCCCACAGGUUGUUCCUUAGAGGCAGGUCCGUGGCCAGGGCACGCAAAGACUUGGGGAACCCUCGGCCAGUGGCCAUGCGCACAGAGACACCGUGGGCAGCUUUCUGCAUGUUGGCUGUGCUCCACCCAGUGAUCUGUCUACGGGCAAUCCCAAAGACCCUGCUUUGUCUUGGAGCCGCGUGUCUCCUUCUCCCCUUUAAUGUGGCCCUUGGCUCUGGUGUGCGUUAUCUUGGAUUUGCUGUCUAACCACAUGGUGCCAUGUGGCUUCUGCCUGAUUGGAACCUCCAGCCCUGCCCCCUGUCGUCCGGUUGGGACACUAGCACUGCACAUUCCGGAGAGGAUUGGAGUGACUUUCUUACUACCCACAGCUGAUAACUGGCCCCGCUGGGCCUCAGUCUUAGGUCUUUGCUGCUAGACUGGUGCUCGGUGUCCCCCCCCCCCCCCCCAAUGGUGGGCUAUGGCGGGAGGCUGGUCCCUCACAAUGGUGUGCUCUCCUAGGAGCCAUGCAGGGCCAGCGGAGCCUGCUGCUGGGCCCUGCCCGCCUCUGCCUGCGCCUGCUUCUGCUCCUGGGCUCCAGGCGCCGCUGCCCCCCUCUGCUCCGGGGCCUGGUACAGCGCUGGCGCUACGGCAAGGUCUGCCUGCGCUCUCUGCUCUACAACUCCUUCGGGGGCAGUGACACCGCUGUCGAUGCCGCCUUUGAGCCCAUCUACUGGCUGGUGGACAACGUGAUCCGCUGGUGUGGGGUGGUGUUCGUGGUGCUGGUGAUUGUGCUGACCAGCUCCAUCGUGGCCAUCGCCUACCUGUGUGUCCUGCCCCUCAUCCUCCGAACCUACUCAGUGCCACGACUCUGCUGGCAUUUCUUCUACAGCCACUGGAAUCUGAUCCUCAUCGUCUUCCAUUACUACCAGGCCAUCACCACUCCACCCGGAUAUCCACCCCAGGGCAGGAACGAUAUUGCGACCGUCUCCAUCUGUAAGAAGUGCAUCUACCCCAAGCCAGCCCGAACGCACCACUGCAGCGUCUGCAAUAGGUGUGUGCUGAAGAUGGACCACCACUGUCCCUGGCUCAACAACUGUGUGGGCCACUAUAACCAUCGGUACUUCUUCUCCUUCUGCUUUUUCAUGACUCUGGGCUGUGUCUACUGCAGCUAUGGAAGUUGGGACCUCUUCCGGGAGGCUUACGCUGCCAUUGAGAGAAUGAAACAGCUCGACAAGAACAAACUACAGGCGGUUGCCAACCAGACUUAUCACCAGACCCCACCACCCACCUUCUCCUUCCGAGAAAGAAUGACUCACAAGAGUCUUGUCUACCUCUGGUUCCUGUGCAGUUCUGUGGCACUUGCCCUGGGUGCCCUAACUCUAUGGCAUGCUGUUCUCAUCAGUCGAGGUGAGACUAGUAUUGAAAGGCACAUCAACAGGAAGGAGAGACGUCGGCUGGAGGCCAAGGGCAGAGUUUUUAGGAAUCAUUAUAACUACGGCUGCUUGGACAACUGGAAGUUAUUCCUGGGAGUGGACACAGGAAGGCACUGGCUUACUCGGGUGCUGUUACCUUCCAGUCACCGGCCCCAUGGGAAUGGAAUCAUCUGGGAUCCUCCUCCUUGGGUGACUGCUCAGUCAGCCUCUGUGAUGGCAGUGUGAGCUGGAUUCUGUCAGCCACAAUUUGAGCAUCACCCUGCUUCCUGCAUUGUCUCAAGGGCCUCCAAGGGUAGCUUCCUGGAAUUCUUGAGCAACAAGAGCCAGUGGACCUGCCUUAGGGUACCAUGCACAGACAACCCAAGGACCUGACUCCUGGCCACUGCAGAAGCAAGGCAUGAUGUGGAAAAGUCCUAGGACUGAAGUUCCUUUACUCAGGCAAACAGAAGUUCCAGCCAUAGACUGGAGAUUAGGCAGCUAGCAACCUUGCCGGGUGCUGACCCCAACCUCCAGGUUCUAGCACUGGAGUUGGCCACCACCACUUCCACUUGCUGUCUGAGGAAACAUCUGAAUGAUCAUGCUGAGAUCCUGGCUUCUCAACAGGGCAAAGACACCAGGCCUACUGCUGAGGUCACUGCCACUUCUCACAUGCUAACGGGAGCAAAAAUAAAGGAACUCACCAUUCUCCCCUGGCUGACACUGCUUCCUUUCGCACCAGUCUCUUCUUGUCAUCUAGAGGUUUGGCUAAGGCCCGGAUCACCUGUGGUUUGUAUGGCAGCAGCUGUGGAAUGAGAGUUAAUCUUAGCCUGUUUAGCCAAAGCAGCCAAAGAGCUGCUUUUCUGACACUACAACUACUUGAGUCCUAUUUUUUUUUUUUUUUUUUAGAACUAUGCUGCUUAUUAAUAGUCACUAUGUAAAAGCAUCAUCAGAAUAUCAUGGGAAUUUAAUGUUGGGGGUUCUUCUUUUUU